CAGCCGCCACGGUAAUACGUAGGUGGCAAGCGUUGUCCGGAAUUAUUGGGCGUAAAGGGCUCGCAGGCGGUUUCUUAAGUCUGAUGUGAAAGCCCCCGGCUCAACCGGGGAGGGUCAUUGGAAACUGGGAAACUUGAGUGCAGAAGAGGAGAGUGGAAUUCCACGUGUAGCGGUGAAAUGCGUAGAGAUGUGGAGGAACACCAGCGGCGAAGGCGACUCUCUGGUCUGUAACUGACGCUGAGGAGCGAAAGCGUGGGGAGCGAACAGGAUUAGAUACCCGUGUAGUCCCUGUCUCUUAUAC
rnacentral:rRNA from 1 species